rnacentral:rRNA from 1 species
AAUGAACGCUGGCGGCAUGCCUAACACAUGCAAGUCGAACGAAGGCUUCGGCCUUAGUGGCGCACGGGUGCGUAACGCGUGGGAAUCUGCCCUCAGGUUCGGACUAACAGCGAGAAAUUGCUGCUAAUACCGGAUGAUAUCGCGAGAUCAAAGAUUUAUCGCCAGAGGAUGAGCCCGCGUAGGAUUAGCUAGUUGGUGUGGUAAAGGCGCACCAAGGCGACGAUCCUUAGCUGGUCUGAGAGGAUGAUCAGCCACACUGGGACUGAGACACGGCCCAGACUCCUGCGGGAGGCAGCAGUGGGGAAUAUUGGACAAUGGGCGAAAGCCUGAUCCAGCAAUGCCGCGUGAGUGAUGAAGGCCUUAGGGUUGUAAAGCUCUUUUACCCGGGAUGAUAAUGACAGUACCGGGAGAAUAAGCUCCGGCUAACUCCGUGCCAGCCGCCGCAGUAA